rnacentral:lncRNA from 1 species
UUUUCUUUUGAAAGUACUACUGGAUUUACACUGUACGGAAUGCUGUAUAAGCCUCAUGACCUACAACCUGGAAAGAAAUACCCCACUGUGCUCUUCAUAUAUGGUGGCCCCCAGGUGCAGCUGGUGAACAAUCGGUUUAAAGGAGUCAAGUAUUUCCGCCUGAACACCCUGGCCUCCCUGGGUUACGUGGUUGUGGUGAUAGACAACAGGGGAUCGUGUCACCGGGGGCUUAAAUUUGAAGGCGCCUUUAAAUAUAAAAUGGGCCAAAUAGAAAUUGAUGAUCAGGUGGAAGGACUCCAGUACCUAGCCUCUCAGUAUGACUUCAUCGACUUGGAUCGUGUGGGCAUCCAUGGCUGGUCCUAUGGUGGCUACC